AGUGAACGCUGGCGGUAGGCCUAACACAUGCAAGUCGAACGGCAGCACAGUAAGAGCUUGCUCUUGCGGGUGGCGAGUGGCGGACGGGUGAGGAAUACAUCGGAAUCUACUUUUUCGUGGGGGAUAACGUAGGGAAACUUACGCUAAUACCGCAUACGACCUACGGGUGGAAGCAGGGGAUCUUCGGACCUUGCGCAAUUGAAUGAGCCGAUGUCGGAUUAGCUAGUUGGCGGGGUAAAGGCCCACCAAGGCGACGAUCCGUAGCUGGUCUGAGAGGAUGAUCAGCCACACUGGAACUGAGACACGGUCCAGACUCCUACGGGAGGCAGCAGUGGGGAAUAUUGGACAAUGGGCGCAAGCCUGAUCCAGCCAUACCGCGUGGGUGAAGAAGGCCUUCGGGUUGUAAAGCCCUUUUGUUGGGAAAGAAAAGCAGCAGGUUAAUACCCCGCUGUUCUGACGGUACCCAAAGAAUAAGCACCGGCUAACUUCGUG
rnacentral:rRNA from 1 species